GGUCCCCAAACUGAGGCUGGAUGUGGCUCUCCAAAGUCAUUUACCUGGCUCCCACCUUAGGAUUGCCCUCUAUCUGAAACAACUUGAAAGCACACAACAAUGACAAUCCUAAUUAACCUGACUCUCAUCUGCCAAAAGCAGGCCCACACUUCCCAUUGAAAUACUGGUAUGUUAAAGUAAAGGUAAAGGUUUCCCCUGACGUUAAGUCCAGUCGUGACCGACUCUGGGGGUUGGUGCUCAUCUCCAUUUCUAAGCCGAAGAGCCGGUCUUAUCCAUAGACACCUCCAAGGUCAUGUGGCCGGCAUGACUGCAAGCAGCGCCGUUACCUUUCCACUAGCGUGGUACCUAUUGAUCUACUCACAUUUGCAUGUUUUCAAACUGCUAGGUUGGCAGGAGCUGGGGCUAACAGCAGGCACUCAUUCCGCUCCCGGGAUUUGAAUCUGGGACCUUUUGGUCUGCAAGUUCAGCAGCUCAGCGCUUUAACACACUGUGCCAUCAGGGGCCCCACUGGUAAAGGUAAAAGGCACAACGUACCAUCACCACGCCAACAACAAUGCCCACUGCUCCAAUCACGUUCAGUUUUGUGGUGAAGAAGUCGUCAAUAGCUGCAUGACAUGACUAGAAGAGAAAUUAUAAUUACAAUACUGGACAACGAAGACUUUGCUAGAUUUUUACUAGAUCAUGAAGCAUACAUCUCAUUGAUUAUGUUGAUCUUAUGCCCAACCUAAAGGUUUAUAUGUGAUGCAGUCCGGCCUUAGUGUCCCUCUCACUAGGUGUCUCCCAAAACACUUCCUUUAGUGAUGCACCUCAUGUUCAUGGGCAAUUCCCAUGUCAAAUAAGCAAAACAGGAAGAAGAGGACAGGAAAGACGAAGGGGGAAGCUUGCACUGUAGGAUUAAUUUUCUCUGUGCAAACUGAACCAGUUUGUCCAUCCUUGGCAAAAAUGUGAGAAAUGUUCUGCCAAUAAUUGUUUGUUGCUUCCAUGACUAACGUUUCAGGGCAGUGAAAGCUGCAGAACAAGUUUCACAGAGCAGCAGCACAAUACUGCUUUGAGAAUGCAACAAGGGGGCGGGGUCAAAGGCAUUUCAAGCCAAGAUUUAUCACCCAUCUGAAGGCUCAACUCAAAUUUUGUUCUUUCAACUGUGGAACAAAAAGUUCACUAUAAGGCAGUCUGGCCACUAAAACACAAAGCAGCUAUUGAGAAUUCUAUAAUCAUGUCUACUGUAGGAAAAAGUCAGUGCAAUGUCUAUAUUCCAUGGCAGCUCCUUAAGUCAUCCAAGCUAUGCAGAAUAACUUAGAUGUCUGUAUUUAAUGGGAAAGUAUCUGAAAAAAUAGAUAGGAAGUAAGUUUGAAGCCCUCCCAAGACCCACAAGGAAAUAGCCUUUUCUUUCUUCCCAUAUGUCUCCUUUAUGUCCCCACUUUUAACUAGUGUUAUCCCAACUAUAGGAGUCCUUGGUGGUGCAGCAGAUUAAACUACUGAGCUACUGAACUUGCUAACUGAAUGGUUGGCGGUCCGAAUCCUGGGAGCUCCCACUGUUAGCCCCAGCUUCUGCCAACCUAGUACCUCGAAAAGAUGCAAAUGUGAGUAGAUCAAUAGGUACCACUCCAGCGGGAAGGUAAUGGCACUCCAUGCAGUCAUGCCAGCUACAUGACCUUGGAGGUGUCUAUGGACGACGCCAGUUCUUCAUCUUAGAAAUGGAGAUGAGCAUGACUAGGCUCAAUGUCAAGGGAAAACUUUUACCUUUUUACACCAGCUAUAUCACCCAGAGCCAGAAAGUCACACUCAUUCUGCUUUUUUGACUCUUCUCAGAAACUGAUAUAAUGAACCAUGAUUGAGAUUUGUGUCCAAAAGGGCCAUGGGAAACAAUCAUAUUGUGUAAAUGGACAGGAAGGGGCUAGAGGUAACAGAUAUGGAGGUAAUAUUUUCAUAGUUGACAGCUCAAAGAAUGAGCAGAAAAUAAAGUAGCUCAGAAAGAAUUA